AAAUUUUCUUAAGGAACUCGGCAAAAUCCCAAUGGCCCACCAGGGCAUAUUGGAACACGGGCCUCGACUGUUUACCAAAAACAUAGCCCUCGGCUAAUAUGAAAAUAGAUGUAUAGAGGGUGAUGCCUGCCCAAUGGUUGUAUCUAAAAGCGGUUGAUAAAAGUCGACCUCGUAAGGACAAUUGAAUGGCCGCGGUAACACUGACCGUGAUAAUGUAGCGUAAUCAAUAGCCAAUUAAUUGUUGGCCAGUAUGAAUGGCGCCACGAAGGCCCCACUGUCUUAAGGAAAUUCCCAGUGAAAUUGAAUUCGUAGUGAAGAUGCUACGUCCAAUUUGUUAGACGAAAAGACCCCGUUGAGCUUUACUGGAGCACUUAUAUGGCCCCGGCCUUCCCAUGCCUGGGAACCGGCCGAAUUUAAAUGGGCGGCUUAGAUUAUGUGGCAGCCCCCCGCUGGGGCAAAUGAAACACCACUCCCCCAUGUCAAAGGGGCUAACCCCCCCCUUGGGGGGGACAGUGUAAGUAGGACAGUUUGGUUGGGGCGACCGCCUUUUAAAAAGUAACGAAGGUGCGCUUAAGGUGUGCAAUUAAUGACUGAAGCCUGACUGCGAGGGGGGUACCCCGAGCAGACACCCCUAAGCCCGCCCGAAGGGCGGCGGUGGGGUGGGCCAUAGUGACCCGUUAAUUUAGAGUGGAAUAGUUAACGAUCAACGAAUAAAAGUUACCACGGGGAUAACAGCGUAAUAUCGUUAGAGAGUUC
rnacentral:rRNA from 1 species